AUUUCCUUCUAUUGUAGCAGUCACAUACUUCUGAAGCUCCAUCUGUUGAUCCUUUAUCACAGCUUCCAAAAUCUGAACUAUUUUCGCCUUGUAAAGUGGUCUACUGACCAUCAAUAAAUGCCCUCUCCAACGAAGUUCUGCCUUAAUAGCAUUGGGUGUAUCAUGGUUCAAAAUCCAUGCAAACUUAGCUAUGCUACUGUAUUUAUCCAGAAAAUUCACCUGGUGGAAUAUGCAUGUAACUGGCUUUGAAGUGUUCCUGAAGAGUUUGUGUCAGUUCAUUCCAUUCAGAUGCUUCAUAUGUGUGCACCAAAUUUUUCUGUAACCAUUGGGCCAUAGUCGAUCUACCCAUUCUUCCAUUAAGUGCAAGCACCAUCUGCAUCCAAAUUUAUUAUGAUCGAUCUGAUAAAUUAGGUCCAUCAAUAAGUUACUUGGGUAUAUUAUUUUGUAUGGUUUAUUAACAAAAUUAAAGUGGAAUUGCAGCCGAUUAUGAAUAGCAUUGCAAUGAUACAGAUUAUGUAUUAGCCUUAAUGUUACCCACAACAAAUAACCAAGAAGUGUAGCUGUUGUGAAUUAUUAGAGAAUAAGAUUGAAACUCUACAAUGCAA